UACGAAGGGGGCUAGCGUUGCUCGGAAUCACUGGGCGUAAAGGGUGCGUAGGCGGGUCUUUAAGUCAGAGGUGAAAUCCUGGAGCUCAACUCCAGAACUGCCUUUGAUACUGAGGAUCUUGAGUAUGGGAGAGGUGAGUGGAACUGCGAGUGUAGAGGUGAAAUUCGUAGAUAUUCGCAAGAACACCAGUGGCGAAGGCGGCUCACUGGCCCAUUACUGACGCUGAGGCACGAAAGCGUGGGGAGCAAGCAGG
rnacentral:rRNA from 1 species